UUUGAACCAAAGUAAAAUUGCAUGAAUCUUCUUUGUGUGCUGUCAGGUUUUUUGAAAAUACUUUAUUUUUUACAUUAUUCAAAACACCUCUCAUAAAAAUACUGGAUAUCUUCCCUUUCUCUCUCACUUUUUCUUUAUUUCCUUUGCUCCAUUUUCUACGUUUGUCUUUGUUAAACAAGACAUAAGAAAUAAGGAGAUAAACAGAGAAGAAAAGGGUGUGAUGAUAGGGUGGAGGUGGGCGUUGAGUCCGAUUUGGAGGGAUGAAAAGAGGAGAGAUAGGGGGAAAGGAGAGGAGAGGAGGGGUGGCAACAAUCUGUGCUGGUUAACUUCUCCCCGUUGACCCUGCAGAAGGGGCCACGGCUCCCUCCAUCUGCCUGAAAUAAUCUCUCACAAACACACACUCAGGGGUGCAUGCACACACACCUUAACAAAUGGCAAAAAAAAGGAUUAAUGAUAUUCCAACACUUACACACAAUCAGCCAGAAUCCAUCACUCCAGUUUCUGCAGGGGCCCAGGCGUGCCAGUAUGUGCGUGUGUGGGUAUCUCACUUUGAAGAUCGAAAGUGUUUGAGUGUGUCUGCAAGUGUCUGUGUAUUACGUGGGUGUGUGUCAUGUCUGGGGCACCAUAUGUUCCCCACAAAUUUGUUUUCACCCCUAAAAAAGCCUAUCCAUAUGCAUAUUAAGCAGCUUUAAUUAAGAUCUCCUCUACCCACAUGCAUACAGUACACAGAUGCACAAACACACACACGCACACACUUCCUGGGAGAGGUAGUGUGAUUUCCGAACAUCUCAUUGCUAGUGAGAACACUUGAGAAACAAGUUAAUUGACGUUGACUAUUCAUAUAUACAGAGUGUGUUGGCUGGGCUGUGGGCAGAUGGUGUUUGUAAGCCCCCAUAUAAACCAGCAGUCAAAAAAAGAGUAAAAUGCUGCCUCAGUCUUGUUCUUAAGUGCCUCAACAACCACACGAGACUGACAGUGAGCGAUCCAUCACUCCCAUCAGAGCUGAGUAGUGGUUCUGAUCAGAUGCUCAGGACCCAUAUGAGCACUGCUAAUUUUCUGUUAAUCUGUAAGGUUGUUGAUUGCAGUUAUUUUGUGUCAUUGAUUGAAAAAUAGCCAGACAGGCCUCUGGUUCAGACAGGACGGACAGGAAUACUAAACUAACUCCUUUCUCAAAUGCUUGUCUAUGAGUCUGACCAAGCCUGCCAGAUUGCCAGCUGUUGAAGCUAACUGCAUAGAGCAACUUCUGGGGAAACUUGCCAGCUUACCAACUACCUGCCUAUUAAAGAUGAAGUGGGUGCUCUACUCCUCCAGAGUCCGCCAUGUGGAACCAUCAUGUUUCUUCAGUUGCCCAGAACGAACAACCAAACACUGGCUCUGGAUACGGUCUUUCGCAUUUUCCCACUAUAAUUUCUCCAUUGUGCUUGGUUGGUAAAGGGAUUUCAGUUUUUUUCUAAUGUGCAAUGUCACCACUCGAUGCCUAAUCCUCCACACUGGUCCUUUAACUGGCAGAACAAUGUAUAUUGGGGCAAGCAGCACAAGCCACCUAAAGCUUAAAAUAAACAUUUCAAAUGCCUGUUUCUCAGUGCGACCAAAAGUAAAUAGAAACUAUAUAGGAAACUACACCCAGGGCAACUUGUGAGCUAACCAAAUAAACUUCUUGUUCUGGCAAAACAAUGUUUAUCAGGACAAAGAUGCACAUAAUUUCUAAUGCUCUCUCAGUCCGACCAAAAGUAAAUAACUAUAAUAGUAGAAGCCCACUACAUCAGCUAUUGUAGCUAAUGUAGCCAACCCUGAUAAUGGAUUGACCCUUCAGGUGACUCUAAAUAGUGAUGUGUGAAAUCUAAAUCUAUACCAACGUCUUGUAAAUGUGUACCAGCAUUGGGUAGUAAUACUGCAGAUGUGGAAUAAAUCUGCUGUUACCAUAAGGCUGACAGGCUUCAGGAGACCGAUGUGCUGCUGCGUUGCACUUCCUAUCUGUGCUAGGGGCAGCGCUCAACACGCCACAGCCCUGCGGCUGCCGUAUGUUUUAGCCUUCAUGCUACAGAUGAAACAAUAAUAUUAAAUGUGUUAUGUGUUAUUUCUGUGGAUGAAUACGUAGCUGGUUUAGUUAGCAUGGAAGCUGCCCCAGAACUAGAAUUUAGCUAGCUAAUCCAAGUUCAUCUGGAAAGCUUAUGGAGGCUCACACUGUCUACAGAUACACGUUAUUUUUCCAGAGUCUUCGUCUCCCAAAUCUCUACAACUGAGGUGGCGAGUGCAAUGUUAGCGCAGCCUAUAUUCAGAAUGGAUAACAGCUAGGUUGAAAAUGACACAAAUGUGCUUUAAAGAUGUAACUGAAAGAACAUUUUCUGUCAUUUUGUCUAUUUCCUUGCACAGUUUAAACCAAAGUGUUUGCAAUUUCACACUGGACUUUUUGAGGCAAGUUUAUUUUGAAUAAAUGAUGACACACAAGAGCACAAACCUUGCCUGAGGGACAGUUGCUCCAGUGUUGGUAACAAAAAUGCUAAUCAUAACAUCACAAUUGAUGUUUAAUGUGGUAAUCCUCAGUCCUCAGGUUUCUGUUUUACGAUUAUGGGAUCUUUAAUAUGAGAUCAUUGCUGUUGUCAAUGGUGUAUUUUUUCCAACCUUUCACAGAGGAUCCCAUUUUCUAUACCUCCUUCAGGGUCAGAGGGAGCUUAUGAUUAUCCCAGCAUGCACUGUGUGAGAGGACACUGGUACACUUCAAACAAGUUGCCACUCCAUCACAGAGCUAACACACAGGUGAGAAACACAUUCAUUCCCACACCUACAGGCAACAGAGUUUCCACUUAACCACACCGGCAUGUCUCUGGACUGCGGGAGGAAACAGGAGCACCCAGAGUACCACCCAUAGGGAGUACAGCACACUCCACAGAGGAAGGACCAGGACUCAAACCAGGAUCAAUAUGCGAUUGAUUUUUUUGAACAUUUUUGCUCUAAGAGAAACGACUGUGCCACCAACAAACUUAUAGCAUUUCUUUUAGGUUCAUCUCACAUGUGAGAACUUCAGUAGUACAUUUUUUUGUGUGUUUUUUUAUUUAAAAUAUACCAUAAAAACUGGUUAUACUCUCACUCCAUUGAAAUUAUUUCCCGCUUUUGCGAUGUGAUAUUUCAUGUCAUUUUAAUGUACAAACAAAAUCUUCUGACACAUCUGGACAGUACUAUGGAUGCAAAUCAGAAUUCUGAUAUUUUUACAGUAAAAACAGCCACUGUAAAGUUCUUUGAUAGUCUUCAUUAACGCUUAACUGCUUAUUAAGUGUGUUGAUUCAGAGUUCAGCCUCUCACUUUAAUGAAUGGGAACAUACAUCAUAUAUGCACGGUCGUAAAGGGCACACUGUGAUAAUGAUGGCAGGACUCAGAGGGGGUGUAGUGAACAACGGCGUCUCCACCAGCCUUGAAAAUGGCUAUGGCACCCCCAAAUCACACAUUUCUGUCUCCGACGGGGAGGCUGUCACCAUGGCGAUGCAGCUUUUUGGGUUUGCGGGGUGAUAACAAGGUGGAGAUGUGCUUAAAGAGGGAGGGGGGUGAGGGAGAUGGGGAUGGUUGUGCACAGAGGGAGGUAGAGAGAUAAACUAAAAAUGCUGCUGCCAAGGUAUUUUAAACCCCAGGGGAGCCUCUGCUUCGGACAAAAGAAGAAAUACAUGAAGGAAUCAUGCACACACACACACACACACACACACACACACACAACGUUAUGACUGAACACCGAGUAGUGAGGUCCCUACAUUCAAAGCUUUUAUUUUUAAUGCACACCAUAACUAGACUCUGAAGGAUGAAUUCCAUUUAAUAAUAAUUUCAACCUGGGCUGUAUUUUGUUCAUUUUUUUGAUCAAUAAUAAUUACGUUAACAUUUUUUCAUUUGCUAGAGGAGUUUUACACACCUUCACAGCAAGGUUGAUUGGAUCCCAGGCAAUGAUUUUCAAUUCUUUGGACUGCCACUGGUGGAUUCUUGCUCUACAAUUUUGUGACACAAUGUACAGAUCACCUAGCAACAAGUCAAUCCAUCCCAAAAAAAUAUUGCUAUUAAUUUGCACCAGCUUCAGGCUCCAUGAUUCAGAGUUUGGUGUUGGCAGGUCGCAUCGCAGUGUGGAUGUUCCUGUGCUGAAAGAUGAGUUUUAAAUAAGUUUUGGUUUAAACAGUUCUUCUGUUGCGGUUUGGUAAUUAGUGUUGUGGAAAACUAAAACUAUGGAAAGGGAGGGAUGACAUUUUCAGCACAGCCAUAAUGAUGGGAAAAAACUGGGAAACUAAAUCCCAGGAUGAAAGUAAUAUUUUUCAAUUUUAUAAUAAACCGAAGAUUUACUAUUUGCAAUAACCUUAAAUCUACACUAAUACAUAUUUUGUAUUUGCAUUUUGUAUGCAUUAUUUCAUGUGUAAUAUUGUUUGUCGGGUCAAUAGAAACGAGAUGGAAGCAAAUGUUAGCUAUAUCAAAUGCAAUAAUAUGUCAAACAUAUGUGUAAUUUUCUUUUUUACUUGUUAUGGGGUUUAGCUUGCUGUCCUGAAAUGGCAUAAUAAUAAUAAUAAUAAUAAUAAUAAUAAUAAUAAUAAUAAAAAUAGUGCUUCACAUCAUUGUCAAAUAAGACACAUGCUUGCAUUUAUACAUAUACAUUGUAUUAGUUAGUUAUUCAUGCCAAAAUGCUUCACAUAACUCGCAUCCAAUCUUAAUUGCAAAUCCACACCUUAAAGGUCCAGUGUGUAACAUUUAGAAGGAUCUAUUGGCAGAAAUGGAAUAUAAUAUUCAUAGGCAUAAUUUCAUUAUAAUCACCAGAAAAACCUUAGAAUGAGCCCUUUUUAUCUACAGAAGGAGCAGGUCCUCUUCUACAGAGUCCGCCAUUUUCAACAGCCAUGUUUCUACAGUAGCCCAGACUGGACAAACCAAACACUGGCUCUAGAUAGGGCCUUUCACGUUUAUAUAGCAACCACACCUCUACAUGCCACUAGACCAUACACACUGGUCUUUUAACCCUAAACUAGUCCUGUUUAAAUGUCUGACCAAAUGCACCCACUACACACAUCUUUCCAUCAUCGUCAGAACAUUUGGUCUUCAUUACGAUAAAUCCACACAUAGCUCUCAGUCUCCUUUCUGAUAGGAUGCAGAUACUAUCUCAAGUCUUGUCUUGGUAAUCAACUUGUCAGUGCAGAGGCAGCAAAGCAACCAGCGGGCCUAUGAACUCUAACACACACAAACACACACACACACACACACACACACACACACACACACACACACACACAGAGUUAAUCAAGAGGGUGACUGGGACAGCGUCCAUGAAAACUGGCCGACAGGAAGUUACAGCCAUGUCACAGGAAAUAGGAUGUGUCUUUUUCCGGGGCUGCAGUAUCCCUGUGAUUAGAGGGAGCAGAUUGAGCUGUCUCUUUGCAUUACACACAUAGAAAACAUACAUGCACAGACAUACACACAUGUGAACACACGAGGACAUAUCCAGGCAGACAUAUAAGGGAAAGGGACAGGAGACAGCAUUACGACAUGAGCCCAAGCACACACACACAUACACACACAGACAUGCAAAUAAACAUGUUGUCUCUUAUUUUCCUCAGUGGAGGGGACUUCCUCUUCUUGGUUUGUUUAGAAAAGCACAGAAGGAAAAGGCUUGGGGAGAGUGGGUGACCAUUUCCUCCUGUUAUGACUACCACUGGUGGACAACAAUUGAGUGAAACACACACAUAUGCAUAGACACGUACACACACGGAAACAUAACUGCAAGGUUGAUACUGUAUAGUGAGACACAGAGCUGUGUGACAUUUCUCCAGUGUGUCCCCACUUAUUUCAAUGACAAGCUGCCUUUACAUCCGAUUGCAUUUUUUAUUUUAAGUGAUGAUGGUGAUGUUAAAUAGGAUUUUGACCUUUUGUGCUUAAAUGAUGUGGGUUGAAAGUACUGAUGCAGUUUGAAUAAACAUUGACAAAUGUUACAUUUAAUAAGAAAAGACAAAUACAUUUUGAAAAAAAUCUUUUUACCCAUUUAUUGCCCAGAAUAAAGGUUGUCAUCCCACCUCA